rnacentral:rRNA from 1 species
CGGACGGGUGAGUAACACGUGGAUAACCUACCUAUAAGACUGGGAUAACUUCGGGAAACCGGAGCUAAUACCGGAUAAUAUAUUGAACCGCAUGGUUCAAUAGUGAAAGACGGUUUUGCUGUCACUUAUAGAUGGAUCCGCGCCGCAUCAGCUAGUUGGUAAGGUAACGGCUUACCAAGGCAACGAUGCGUAGCCGACCUGAGAGGGUGAUCGGCCACACUGGAACUGAGACACGGUCCAGACUCCUACGGGAGGCAGCAGCC